rnacentral:rRNA from 1 species
CGGGAGGCAGCAGUGGGGAAUUUUGGACAAUGGGCGAAAGCCUGAUCCAGCCAUGCCGCGUGAGUGAAGAAGGCCUUCGGGUUGUAAAGCUCUUUCAGUCGGGAAGAAACGAUUGCAACUAAUAAUUGUAAUUAAUGACGGUACCGACAGAAGAAGCACCGGCUAACUACGUGCCAGCAGCCGCGGUAAUACGUAGGGUGCGAGCGUUAAUCGGAAUUACUGGGCGUAAAGGGUGCGCAGGCGGUUUUGUAAGUCAGAUGUGAAAUCCCCGGGCUUAACCUGGGAAUUGCGUUUGAAACUGCAAGGCUAGAGUGUAGCAGAGGGGAGUGGAAUUCCGCGUGUAGCAGUGAAAUGCGUAGAGAUGCGGAGGAACACCGAUGGCGAAGGCAGCUCCCUGGGCUAACACUGACGCUCAUGCACGAAAGCGUGGGGAGCAAACAGGAUUAGAUACCCUGGUAGUCCACGCCCUAAACGAUGUCAACUAGUUGUCGGGCCUAAUUGAGGGUUUGGUAACGUAGCUAACGCGUGAAGUUGACCGCCUGGGGAGUACGAUCGCAAGAUUAAAACUCAAAGGAAUUGACGG